ensembl:lncRNA
UUUUUUUUCUUUUUUUUUCUUUUUAGGGCCUCACCUGCUGCAUAGGGAAGUUCUCAGGCUAGGGGGUGGAUCAGACCUGGAGCUGAGGCCUAUAGGCCACAGCCACAAUAACACUGGAUCUGAGCUGCAGCUUGUGGCAACAUCAGGUCCUUAACCCACUGAGUGGGGCCAGGAAAAGCAGAAAAUCAUGGGCUUCCUCAUCACAGUCGCAGUCUUCCUCGGUGGGAUGUAGGUGGAGGGUCAUUUCAGAGGCUCGUAUUUGAAAUAAACGCUGAGGGAAUUCUCAAAUUGACAUCCUGGGAAGAAAUACACAGUUUUCUUUUCUUCAUUUUCUCCAUUUCUCAGAGUUUCACAUUUGGAAAAAGACGCUGUCAUGUUACAAGAAUAAGCAGCAGAUCAGGAAAUGAGCCAAAGCCUUUUAAUCCAGUCUUGCUUUACAAUGCAAAUGUUUUUCUAUCAAAUGUUCCGAAAUGUGCUAAUCAUCACCUGCAGCACAAAUUUUCAAGGAGCUGUGGAAUACGUAUCAAAAUGUGAUCAAACCUUUCUCAGGAGAAGUCUCUGUGCAUGUAACUUGCUUCCUCUCCUCUCACAACUCCCCAGGCCCCCUCCUUUGUGAGCUCUCUUAGGGGCCUCAUCCCCCAGGUGGGGUGUCCAGUGUGGGAAGGGGGCCAAGUGGGUUACCACCCCCAGGCCCACUGGCCAGCAGACAGCUGCAGCUCCAACCUGUUGGGCAGCGGAGACAAGGCUCGGAUACAAGAAGGGCUGGAAACAGCCACUUGAGAACACAUGCAGCCCAGCCCCUCUUUCUGGAUACCUCAGACCUGCACCUGGCUGUCCUGCUAAGUCAGCCCUUAAUUGGCUCAAAUUAUCCUUAAUGGAUAUACAGAGCAUUAGCAAUUGUCAAUUACACCAAACACCAUGCCUACUUAAUAUGCACUGUUCCCUAAAAGGGGAGAAGUAAAUGUCUAAGAUAUGCAGGAGGGGACCAGCUAUUCAAAAGCCUCUUUGGUGAUAAAUGGCAAGCGGUCUGGAAGCUGCCAUCUCAUUUAGCUAAUUACAAACCUAUUUGUUUGGGGCGGGGCAGGCGCACCUGAGGCAGUUUUUAUCUUCUCUCUCACUGAGGAAUACAAUAGCUUUAGUGGGAAACAGCAGCUGGUGUUUACUUGGCUGAAAGGCGAGGGAGCUCAAUGCUCCAUCCCCGUCACUGGGUCGUAGGCUCAGCAACCUCCUGGCCUGGCUCUGGGAGGGACAGUCCACUGGCCUCCGGUGAGAACACCAGAGUUCUGCAAUCAGAGACUCUGACAUCCCUUCCAGAAACCGAUAACCUCACAUUCAGGUCAGUCCCAGGGGAGGCCUUGGUACAAGUCACUGAAAGGCUCAGGGCCUCAGUUUCCUGGUCUGUAAAGAGAGAGGAUGGGACCAGAACAGCGGUUCCCAGCCCUGGGCACACAUCUCCAUCACUUUUCGUGAGUCUGUGAUUUAAUUAGCCUCAGGUGUGGAUGGGCAGCAGGUGCUUUAAAACUAAGGGUUGAAAACGACUGAUCCAGUAGAGCCCCUUCUCAUUUAAACCAAACAAAAAAGUUCCAAAGUCCCAAAUAUCAAUGAAAUCAUCUGCGCCUCUCCCCCUACAGGGUGGUGGAUGGGGAUGUGAGUUCAUCGCUGAGUAGGGCGGGGCUCUCAAAGCCACCCCGGCCCUGAGCCCUGAGGACGCUUGAUGAGCACUGGGGCUGCAGCCCACCUGAACGAUCUCCAAGUUUCCAGUCAGCUCUAAAAUUUGGACACUGUAUUUGGGAUUUAUAUUUUCUCUUCCUCUGUUGCCUGAAACAAGUUUCACAAUAAACUAUCUUAAACGAAAAUGUUUUGGUUAUUUUAAAUAAGUCUCCCGCCAACAAAUGAGACUGCUUGCCAUUGUUUUUCUUUUCAAAACAAAGAAUGAAAAGCUGCUUAAACUUGUUCAUUCCCUGCACUUUCAGUCGAUUACAGACCACAGAAAAAAAACAUAAAACAAGUCCUAAGAAAUGAACAAUUAACAUCACAAAAAGUGUAAAGAAUUCUAAUUCCAAAACGCCAAAAAUACUGAUUACAUUUCAAUUACUAUUUGCGCUUUCAUCUGGAAAACAUAUCCUCUGUUGGAAAGUACCCAGUACAACAGCUGCAUUGCUUUUUCGACUUUCACAAACACUCUAAAAGUUAGCCAGAACUCUAUGUUGGCUGACAUCCAGGGUUUUAUUAUUAUGUACUAUUAGUUCAUAGUGAGAAAUGUGGGCUAAGGAAGGGAGAAAGCGAAGUAACAACAGGGGCUUCAUAAUCGUGUGCAGAUGUGCAAGUUUCUGAAGCUUUAUCUGCCAGAAAAUGCCUUGCCUCCCAUAUUACUUGUAUUACCUGUAGCCUUUAUUACUUUAAUUAGAUAAUUACAAACGUGUUUUUAGGACAUCGUUUAGAGCCUUACUGUUAAACAAUUUUUUCUUAUGUCAGUGGCUGGGCUAUACUGACAUUUUAAUACUUUUCAUAUGUAAAGCAGACUGGUGGACAUUCUCCUCCUCUUCCCCCCCUCCCUGCUUUUCAGCAAAUGCAGAAAGCACAUGGACAGGCCACAACCAGUCCUGUUCCUCCAUUUCUUGUCAAAUCAAUUAUGGCUCAAAAGCCUCUCACUUUCAGUACUUCGUAAAUGUUGGGGCUUAUGACAUCUUCUUUAAAGGUUUCUAUCAACCAAAUGGUCCAGCACAGGCUUUUCAAUCUCACGAACCUGUAAAGUUAAAAAAAACAAAAAAACUAGAAGGACAAACACAGGUUUCUAACUUUUAUUUAGUUAGGGGAUAAACAUUUUUUUAAAUUGCCUAUCUGAAACUGUCACUCUUUUAUAAAGACGACUCAGAAUAGAAGAAUCAGCAUCAUCAUCUGAGAAUUGAAAGAGCAAUCCUUUGCAGAAGAAAACAAGUGAUGAUCUCACAUCAAGGCUUCUGGAGCGGCAGUGAGCGCCUCAGGACACACCUGGCCCACAGGUGCAAAGGCAACGUCAGCAAGUAGUCAGAUGAUGCAAGCUCAAAUCCCAGCCAGCUGACCAGGAACAGGCACAAAAGCUCUCCAGGCUUCUGUAUCUAUACCUGGACAUUUACUCUCCUUCUGAAGUUCCUAUUCUAGAGUUCCAUAACCAGUAAGUAAAAACACGCUGUUAGACUGACACCUAUUUUAUUACAAUGAGGGAGAAGAACCAAGUCUUACACUCCACCAUGUACAUCUCCUGCACCCAGCACAGCACUGGGCACAAAGUCAGGUCAAUAAAUGUUUACUGAAUAAGUGACUUUUCUGAUCCCAACAGUAUUUAAAGGAUUUUAAGAAAAAUGCAUUGAUGAUUGAUGCUUGACAGCUUCCUGAAAUAAAAUGUAACAUGGAUCUGGCUUUAUUUUAUUUUUUUUAGGGCUGCUCCCACAGCAUAUAGAGGUUCCCAGGCUAGGGGUCAAAUCAGAGCUACAGCUGCCAGCCUACGCCACAGCCACAGCACCAGGGGAUCCCAGCUGCGUCUGAGACCUAUACCACAGCUCAUGGAAACGCCAAAUCCCCGACCCACUGAUCGAGGCCAGGGAUCAAACGCAAGCCCUAUGGAUACCACUCGGAUUCGUUUCCGCUGCUGUUCUUUAAAUUUAAAUAAAAAUUACAACGGGAACUCCUGGCUUUAAUUUUUAAUUUUAUGGAUGUAUGUAUAUUUGCAUUAUUGAACAAACACUUAUAUAUUUCUGUGUGCCAGGCCUAAAGCCUUUACCUAACUCACUUAAUCCUCAAAAUAUCCUUUUUGAGGUAGUCACUCCUCGGUAUUUUACAGAUGAAAAAAAGUGUGACACACAGUGGUUAAGGAACUUGCCUAAGGUCAAAGAUGUAAAGUUAGCAGAGCUGGAAUUUGAAACCAAACGGUCUAGUUUCUGAGUCUAUCCUAUGUUGUCCAACAUGGUUGCCAUGAGUCACAUAAGGUUCUUUAAAUUUAAAUUAAAUAAAAAUUACAAUUCUGCCCCUCCAUGCACUAGCCAUAGGCACUCAGACGCCACAUACAGCUCAGGGCAACAGAACUGAACAAUGCAGAUGGGGGACCUCCACCACUGCAGAAAGCCCCACUGGAAGCACUGUCUAUGCUGUCAGACAAUGCUCUCCUGCUGCCUCUCUGAGCGUGGCUCCAGACCCCACAGUCCCAUCUCCAAGCUAUGUCCCAAUCUAAUAAAACAUAACACAAAUGGGCUUUCCAACUGGGACUCCCUCAUGCCCACUCUUUAAGCAAAUGUAUUAAAAAACAAGCCAACAGCUGGUUGAUUCUUGAUAGAUCACCUUGAUAAGAAAGCCUGGAUUGGGAGUUCCCGUUAUGGCACAGCGGUAACAAACCCGACUAGUAUCCAGGAGGACGAAGGUUGAUCCCUGGCCUCACUCAGUGGGUUAAGGCUCCAGGGUUGCCGUGAGCUGUGGUGUAGGUCACAGAUGAGGCUCAGAUCCCAUGUUGCUGUGGCUGUGGCUGUGGCUGACAGGUGUAGCUCCAAUUCAACCCCGAGCCUGGAACUUCCAUAUGCCAAGGGUACGGCCAUUAAAAAAAAAAAAACAAAGAAAAAAACAGAAAGCUUGGAUUGUUUUUUUUCCCUUUGUUAUGCUCUACCCUUCUCCUGGCAGGAUGUUUGCCGAAAUGGGUUCUGGCUGUGAGGUCACUGGUGCACACUUACACCUGUCCUGCCAUGAGGGCAGAAACCCUGUUUUAUGGACUUUGUAAGCAGAGUUCAGCCAGAGGGUAGCCCUUCCCAAAAUUCACCUCCCAAAAUAUUUGUGGACAUUUUUCAAAAUGUCAAAGGCACAUCAUACAAGGUCCUUUCUGUAACAUGGAAACCAAAUGUUUGGUAUCAAGGCAGCCUUUCAAUUCUCUCAAAGGCAGAUUCAGAGUGAGCUGCCAUUGAAGGGAGAGGGGAGUAUUAUGAUUUCGGCAGCUCCCCAAAUAGCUACACCUCUGAGAAAAGGCAGCCAUGAAAGUUUAAUUGCCUAAGAAGACUAAUACAUCAAGUGCUGUUCAAUAUAACAUCUAAACUCAAAUGGACCUGAGAGGAAAUGAGACCCAAGACAGGUAAAUUUUGGUAGGAUAAAAGUCAGGUCUAGAACAGAGGGGCAGGAAAACAAAGAAAUACAGAGGGAAACUGACUGCAUGGAGUUAGUCGCAAAGGAAGGAAAAGGAAAGCUGGAAGACUGGAAAAACAAAACAAAACUAAUUCAUGGUUCUGCUGUGGCUGGCCUUCCGAGCUAUAAAAUUCUAUUUCUGCAUUUGUUAAAUGAAC